rnacentral:rRNA from 1 species
UGAGGAAUAUUGGUCAAUGGGCGAGAGCCUGAACCAGCCAAGUAGCGUGCAGGAUGACGGCCCUCUGGGUUGUAAACUGCUUUUAUACGGGGGUAAAAAACGCCACGUGUGGCGUCUUGCAAGUACCGUAAGAAAAAGGACCGGCUAAUUCCGUGCCAGCAGCCGCGGUAAUACGGAAGGUUCGGGCGUUAUCCGGAUUUAUUGGGUUUAAAGGGAGCGUAGGCGGGUGUUUAAGUCAGCUGUGAAAGUUUGAGGCUCAACCUUAAAAUUGCAGUUGAUACUGGAUACCUUGAGUGUGCGCAGCGGCAUUGGAAUUCGUAGUGUAGCGGUGAAAUGCUUAGAUAUUACGAAGAACUCCGAUCGCGAAGGCAUAUGCCGGGAGCACAACUGACGCUGAGGCUCGAAAGUGUGGGUAU